AAAGCCGGUCCAAACUGGGCUUUUGAAUUGAAUUUUCGUGUCGCGAUUGUUGAACAACUUUUUGACUAAAAAAAGGGCACCAAUUUUGCACAAAUGGAGGCUCGAUGCCGAUGGAAAGAAGGCUUCUGCACACUUUCUAUUGUUUAGUUACAUAUGUCUGAAAUUGUUUCUUUACCUUACGAAAGAAUUUUAUAUCUUUUUUAUAACGUUCGGCUCGACCUCCAACUCACAUGUGUUGAAAAAAAAAAAAAUCAAAAUGACCCAAAAAUAAUUUUCAAACCUUUCCCGGCGUCUUGUAAAGGGACUUGUAAAGAAAGAUGGGAGAUAAAGAGAAGGGAACAAAGGAAGGGAUUUCGUCAGGCGGCGGAGGAGCCGCGAGCAACAACCCAUUUAAGAAAUUAAAGAACUUUUUUACGCAUUUCAUGAAAGAAAACAAAGAAAAUAAAAAUGAGAAGAAUAUCGCACAAAGACUUAGAGAGAAGACUAAUCUUACCAAAAAAUUAGGUUUUGUUGUGCCUAAAAGUUCUAAACGGUAUGGAGCACGAGUACUGGUUCCCAGAGUAUAACGGAAAAAACUGAAAUACAUGAGCAGAACGUACCGGAAAUUUCAUGUCUAACGCCUGAACACCGAAAAGGUGGUUAAACCAAGCUUACGACCCAAACGAAAAACAAAAAUUUAAACAGAAAAUCGACUUCAAGUAUAAAUCAAACAACGUGUCUCAACAGCUGAACUCCGUCCAAGUCUCAAUAGGAUCAGACAUUCAGAGCAAUAUAAAUUUAUCCACUCAA